GGUGCAGCGAGGAGCCGUGGAGCUCGGGGACGCCCCGAGGGGUCUCAUGAAGCUCAUUCUUGUCUCAGAUUUGCUAUUAUGCCACCAAGGAAGAUGACCUUGAACUCCUGAUCCUUCUGCCUCCACUUUCUGAGUGCUGGGCUUGAGGUGCUGCAGGAGACUCCUGAGGAAAUUCCAGUUUCUUGUGGACAGCCAAAGGAAGGACAUCGCCUCCAUGACAGCUGGAAGUAAUUCUAGAAGACGAUGUUCCGCCUCCCACCAAAGGUUGUCCUCAAGCUGCUGAAUUCGGUUGCUGUUUUCCCUUUCGAGCAGAGGACUGUGAUCUCAGAAUGUGUAACCCAAAUUGAAGGUGUGCCUUCUAGCCUCAAG